rnacentral:rRNA from 1 species
UACGGGGGGGGCAAGCGUUGUUCGGAAUUACUGGGCGUAAAGGGCUCGUAGGCGGCCAACUAAGUCGGAUGUGAAAUCCCCAGGCUUAACCUGGGAACUGCAUCCGAUACUGGAUGGCUUGAAUCCGGGAGAGGGAUGCAGAAUUCCAGGUGUAGCGGUGAAAUGCGUAGAUAUCUGGAGGAAUACCGGUGGCGAAGGCGGCAUCCUGGACCGGCAUUGACGCUGAGGCUCGAAAGCGUGGGGAUCAAACAGG